CCGGGGCUGACCGAGGGGAAGGGCAGGACAUGGCUGGCAAUUCAGAGCACCAUUCUCCCAAAGGGCUUGCUGGGUUCUAGAACUCCACAGUCCACUGGCCAUUCCCAAGGCUGCCAGUGGCCAAGCAGGAGCGGCUCUCUCGCUUCCAUGGCUACCUUCUCCAUGCUGAAGGCUGCCUGAGACUGUCUUUGCGUCAGCAGCACCAGUGAGGAGGCAGGCAAGCUGUCCUCAUGGGACGGAGGAACGAAGGAAUGAGGCAUAUGUCACCAAGCACCACACUGGUGAAGCUCAGGCUGACCGUUCGACAGAAUCAUCUAGAACGCUGGCUAGAAAUCCAGGGUGGAGCCACCCACACCUACUUGGUUGUCUUGUGUUUCCAACAAGCUUCCUUGGGAUCCUGAGGCUGGGCCAGGGUUUCGUAAGCACCGGGGCCCCAGCCACUCCCUCCGGAUAGCUGUGUGAAGUAGGAGCAAUGUGUUCGAAUUUCCCGAAAAGCUUACAGACAGGACCUCGGGCCUUGUCCCACCAUCGGAGUCUGGAGCCCCCCCACCCAGGGUUCCUGGAUCUCUCUCCUUUCAGCUCUUGCUGUGGAGAAGUUUCCUCCUAGACUGAAACAUUCCAUCCUGCAGAGACGCUCCUUCAGACAGAAAGUAAGGAACUCAAAGAGCUUCAGGAAGUUCCUGAAACUGACCAGACUCACUAGGCCCCUCCCUCCAAGAGUAAACAGCAAAGAGAGCCACUCCCAGACAAGCCAAACCACAAACAAGAAAGAUAUUGGGCAAGCAGCCUGGAGCCACCUAAAAGGACAUUCUUCAACCUGUUAGCUGCCUGAAGGCUGCCUCCAGCUUUGAGCUGUCACCCAUGCUGGGGUGGGCUUUGGUGAUACAGCUGUCUGUGAGUCAUUUCUGCUCCUGUAAGUAAUCCCUCACCCACAUUUCUGUAAGUAACCCCAAUAAAACUCACUGGUUUACCAA